UCUUUACGACUUAUAUAUAAAUAUGUCACACCAAUGUUAUCAUAUCUGUUAAUUCCACCUGUUUGCAUCAGUAAGCAAUUCGACUGAAAGAAGAAUGAUGAAAUCUCUCGUCUUAGUCUUUUUACUGGUUCUUCUGAUUACCAUAAUAGGGUUCGUUUAUAUGCAAGACAAAAUAUGUGUUCCCAGAUCUUGCAAUAUAUAUUGCAUAACUCGUGGCCACAGAGGAGGCUAUUGCUCCGGAAUUCACUGUAUUUGUAACUGGUAAGAACUGGAUACAAAAGAAAACGAACUUCAAAAUUAUUCAGUAAUAAAUUUAAAUGUGUAAAGUUCUGUAAUCAAUAUUGUAUCCAUGUAAGAAUAUAUAAUUCAAUAAAUAUAUUUUGAUUUUUAAGACAGUA